GUAGGUGGCAAGCGUUGUCCGGAAUUAUUGGGCGUAAAGCGCGCGCAGGCGGUUCGUUUAAGUCUGAUGUGAAAGCCACGGGCUCAACCGUGGAGGGUCAUUGGAAACUGGAGAACUUGAGUACAGAAGAGGAAAGCGGAAUUCCACGUGUAGCGGUGAAAUGCGUAGAGAUGUGGAGGAACACCAGUGGCGAAGGCGGCUUUCUGGUCUGUAACUGACGCUGAGGCGCGAAAGCGUGGGGAGCAAACAGGAUUAGAUACCCUGGUAGUCCACGCCGUAAACGAUGAGUGCUAAUGUUAGGGGGUUUCCGCCCCUUAGUGCUGCAGCUAACGCAUUAAGCACUCCGCCUGGGGAGUACGGCCGCAAGGCUG
rnacentral:rRNA from 1 species